rnacentral:rRNA from 1 species
GUCUACGGCAAUAACAUCCUGAAUAUGUCCACUCUCGUCUGAUCUCAGAAGCUAAGCGGGAUCAGGCCUGGUGGGAUUGUUGAAU